rnacentral:rRNA from 1 species
CCAAUAGCGUAUAUUAAAGUUGUUGCAGUUAAAAAGCUCGUAGUUGAAUUUCGGGAUCAAUAUAUCGGUCGUGCCUUCGGUAUGCACUGGUAUUAUUGAUUUCUACCUUCUGACGAAUCAUGAUGUCAUUAAUUUGGUGUCAUGGGGAAUCAGGACUGUUACUUUGAAAAAAUUAGAGUGUUUAAAGCAGGCACACGCUUGAAUACAUUAGCAUGGAAUAAUGAAAUAGGACGUUUGACCCUAUUUUGUUGGUUUCUAGGAUCGACGUAAUGAUUAAUAGGGAUAGUUGUGGGCAUUAGUAUUCAAUUGUCAGAGGUGAAAUUCUUGGAUUUAUUGAAGACUAACUACUGCGAAAGCAUUUGCCAAGGAUGUUUUCAUUAAUCAAGAACGAAAGUUAGGGGAUCGAAGACGAUCAGAUACCGUCGUAGUCUUAACCAUAAACUAUGCCGACUAGGGAUCGGAUGAUGUUAAUUUUUUAAUGACUCAUUCGGCGCCUUACG